rnacentral:rRNA from 1 species
UCGGACGGGGUGGUAACGCGUGAGAAUCUACCUUCAGGUUGGGGACAACCACUGGAAACGGUGGCUAAUACCGAAUGUGCCGAGAGGUGAAAGGCUUGCUGCCUGAAGAAGAGCUUGCGUCUGAUUAGCUAGUUGGUAGUGUAAGAGACUACCAAGGCGACGAUCAGUAGCUGGUCUGAGAGGAUGAUCAGCCACACUGGGACUGAGACACGGCCCAGACUCCUACGGGAGGCAGCAGUGGGGAAUUUUCCGCAAUGGGCGAAAGCCUGACGGAGCAAUACCGCGUGAGGGAGGAAGGCUCUUGGGUUGUAAACCUCUUUUCUCAGGGAAGAACAGAAUGACGGUACCUGAGGAAUAAGCAUCGGCUAACUCCGUGCCAGCAGCCGCGGUAAUACGGAGGAUGCAAGCGUUAUCCGGAAUGAUUGGGCGUAAAGGGUCCGCAGGUGGCAUUGUAAGUCUGCUGUUAAAGAGUUUGGCUCAACCAAAUAAGAGCAGUGGAAACUACAAAGCUAGAGUGUGGUCGGGGCAGAGGGAAUUCCUGGUGUAGCGGUGAAAUGCGUAGAUAUCAGGAAGAACACCAGUGGCGAAGGCGCUCUGCUAGGCCGAGA